rnacentral:piRNA from 1 species
UGGCCAGUCGAGCGCGCGCAAGAAGUGU